rnacentral:rRNA from 1 species
AACGUAGGAGGCGAGCGUUAUCCGGAUUUACUGGGCGUAAAGCGCGUGUAGGCGGUUUCAUAAGUCGUGCGUGAAAGCUCCCUGGCUCAACCGGGAGAGGUCGUGCGAUACUGCGAAACUUGAGUCAGACAGAGGCAAGUAGAAUUCCGGGUGUAGUGGUGAAAUGCGUAGAUAUCCGGAGGAAUACCAGUGGCGAAGGCGACUUGCUGGGUCUGUACUGACGCUCAGACGCGAAAGCAUGGGGAGCGAACGGGAUUAGAUACCCCGGUAGU